rnacentral:lncRNA from 1 species
CUUUCUUUCUUUCUUUCUUUCUUUCUUUCUUUCUUUCUUUCUUUCUUUCUUUCUUUCUUUCUUUCUUUCUUUCUUUCUUUCUUUCUUUCUUUCUUUCUUUCUUUCUUUCUUUCUUUCUUUCUUUCUUUCUUUUUUCCUUCCUUCCUUCCUCUUUCUGUCUUUCUUUCUUUCUAUGUUUCUUUCUGUUUUUCUAUCUUUUUUUCUGCCUUUCUUUCAUUCCCCCUCCCUUUCUUUCCUUUCUCCCUCCUUUCCUCUCUUUCUUUCCUUUUCUUCCCCCUUUCUCUCUUAAACUUUCUUCUCUAACAAAGAAGGUCAAGGACUUAUCAAAUACAUUGAAGUGACUUGCCCAGGGUCACCCAGAUAGAAAGUAUCUGAUGUUAAAUUUGAACCGAGGUCCUCCUGGCCUGACACUCUACCCACCAUCUAGUUACCUCAAUCUCAUGUCUUUCAGACUGUCUAACUGCAAGUCCAAUGAUGGCUGAUAUUCUAUGAGUAUCUUAGGCUCUCCUCCAGGAUCAUUAUCCUGGGGUUCAUGAACUUACUUGUUUUGUAAUAUUUUGGUAACUGUAUUUUAAUAUAACCGGUUUCCUUUGUAUUUUAUUUUAUACAUUGAAAAACAUCCUUCUGAAAAGGCAUCCAUGGGGUUCACCAGACUGCCAAAGGGGCCUAUGACACAAAAAAGUCUAGCAACUUCUGGGCUGCAUGGUAUUUAGUUACCUUUAAAUAUCGGAAGAGCUCUCAAGUAGAUCAGGGUCUUCAUUGGUCAGUUCAAGAGGGGAGGAGAAGAUAAGUCAUCAUAUGGGUUGGUUUGGAGGAAGGUCAUCUGACCACUUCAUAACCAGUCUGGCUAGAGCACCCUUUCUCUUUUCUUGCUCAUGGUAAGAGGGAACUUUGAGGUCUAGUUGACAUCUAUUCUGAAGUCUCAAUCUCUUUUCAGAUGACUACACCUAAGCCCUGGUUUUGCUGGUUUUCCCUUCUCCUCCUGGCUUGCCUGCAGGUCCAGCUGGUGUCAGCAGGCAUGGGACCUAAAGAGCAUGAACUUCCUCUGUGGCCAGGCAAGAACGCCAGCCCCAUUGCACUCAAGCACUACUGGGAUGUAAUGAACCAGUUUUUGGACGAAGAAGAAAGGCUGGAAGCCCAAAACACAAAGAAGAAACCAGUGAGUCAGAAGUCCAAAACUCCCUUGCCCAACAAGAACUCCAGAAAGACCUGACCCCACCAAACCUCUGGUGUCCAUUCUUUCCUCUCAUAAGAAGUUCCAACACAGAGGCAAGUGGCCCUCCAAGUUUCAUGGGUGGCACCCAACCAUGCUAUCCACCCUCUUCCCCACAAGGUCACAACUUCCCACCAGCCCCAUCUCUGACAACACUCAUGAGAACAUCUGAUUCUGUGACUAGAAAGUGACACAAUAAAAUGGAAUCUCUGGCAGGUUGACUGGACUUC